rnacentral:misc_RNA from 1 species
GUCCGUAUGUUGCAUUCCAAUAGAAAGUCCAGUUUCAGGCUUGGAGUUAUAGGCCAUUGUUCCUCUUCCAAAUAAAGGAGCAUUCUUGGAAGGACAGGAAUUUUCUGAUGGAGACAAAGCAACAGACUUACUGUGAGGCUCAAAUCCAGUCAUCUUGCCAGCAAUUCUUUGAGGAUUCAAGUGCCCAUUUUCACUGCUCCUAGCCCCCGGCUGAUUCAAACAUUCUUUAUCCCUAAAAUCUGUUCUUGAAGGAC